GACGGCAGCAGUGUGUGGAUUUGAAGCCUUUAUCAAUGGAAAACACGUCAUUGGAAAGGUAAAGGAAAAAGAGCAGGCUCGUAAGGAGUACAAGCAAGCCAUAGAGAAAGGCCAUGGAGCCUACCUGAUGGACCAGGAUGCACCUGAUGUAUUUACUAUCAGUGUGGGGAAUCUUCCUCCUGGAGCCACAGUUCUGAUCAAGGUGACGUUCAUCACUGAGCUGCUGGUCAGAUCAGGCUCUAUAAUCUUCUCACUGUCUGGCAGCGUGGCACCAUGGCAACAGAGCGCCGCCCUUAAUCAGACAA